AGGUCACCCCAAAGCCUUCUCUUUUCCAGGCUGAAUAUAUCUGAAUUACAGGAAGUAUAUUCACCCCCCCAGGAAGAGCAAUCAGGAAGGAUUUGACUGCUUGGAAUGUCCCAAUAGGGCAUGACAAAACCCCAAAUAAAAAUCUACAGAAAUGACAGGGAUUCAGUGGAUUGGGAGGAGGGAAGCAGGUAACCCAGAACUGUGCCACUGCUAUUAAACAUGUGAGUGUUUUAAGUAGAGUGAUUUAGGUAGAGUGAUUUAAGCCAUGCUGUCUAUUUAGUCAUUAAUGUAACUUGGAUAAAUCAAAUGUUGACAAUUUAAAUUUUUGGCAAUUGCACACAGGCACCUGCUGGAAGAAAGAUGAUGAUGUUAUUGUUAGGACACUUAAGACUUUUAUGCAAUUAGUGUUAAAAUGAGCAACUCUUUGCCUAUUCUUGCACAGGCUGUGUAAUCAGAUAGGAAUCUGAAAACUGCAUAGAGUUAUUAAGGUAAUAUGCUGACAUCCAGCUUUGGACAUUACAAUUUGCAAAGUCUGACUGAGGCACUGACUUUGGAAAAUGGCUGGCAAUGUUCUCCCUCUGCUUUUCAGGACUAUACUCCAAACAGACUGUGUUCAAUAACCUAUGAUCCUGGAAAGAUUUUCCAAACAUCAACUGGAGGGUCAGGCCAAAUUCACAUUGACAUUCUUAACUUCCUACCCAUCAUUCCUUCAGUCUGAGUUUAAAACACGAAAAAAAGCCUUUGUUUUACACAUUUUUUUUGGUAUCAUGCCUUUAGGAUGCUGGUUCUCCAGUUCUGAAAUGAAAAGUAUCCAGAGAAAGAAAGCAAAGCAACAAGAAACAACUCAACUACAGAGGCAGGAUGUGAGAAAACCAACUGGGACAUCAAGACACUCUCUGAGGAGGACUUCAAGAAGGCAACUGGAAGUUGCUUAAUACUUUUUUCAGACUUGUGAGCCUAGAGGAAGCUGUGAAAAAGUAACAAGAGGAGCUUUAAGGACGGCAAAAGUAUUUAUAUAGGAAGAGAUAGAAUGUUUUUUAAUUACAGUUGUCUUUCCAACAACUCACUGAAAGUGGAGCACCUGGAACGGUACAUAUACAGCUGUGCAAGUCUGGCUUCCAUACAUAUUUAAUUGGUUUUAUUUCACUCUUUAACAGGACAUUUAUUAGAAAACAUCUAAGAGCUGGACAAGAAAAGCAAAGCACAACACAUUAAAACAAAUAAAAAAAAAAGUUGAGGGAUAAAAAAACCCCAAGAAUCCUGGUACAGAGGAAAAUACAGGGACUCUGAAGACAAAGCCUAAAUCCCAACUGAUAUGAAACUGUAGAAGCAAAAGCACGACAGAAAGGAAAGCAAAAUCAGGGUUUCAAGGCUGUGAAGGAUAAGUCUGCCAGGACACUGCAGGAAGCCUCAGACUUCCUCUCUGAGGGAGCUCUGAACCUACAGACCUGGAUGUGCACACUCAGUGUCUUGCUGUGCAUCUGCAGGAGAGAGAGACCCACGCACCUCAACAGCUCCCUUGGCUGUUACCUCUUAGCUUAGAUCAGGUUAUUUGUUUGUUUGUCUGUUCUUUAAACCAAGAGCUGAACAAUCCUAGAAAAGCCAUGGUAAUAGCUUAGGAAUGUGGGUUUUGCCACCUUAAACAGCCUAGAAAUGCAGAUUGCUCUACAAUUCACUUCAUGAGGAAAUAUUACUAUUAUAAGACAAAAAUCUACAAUUCUAUUAUCACCUUUAUGCCUGCUUAUAAACUUCAAAACAAGACUAACAAUGAAAACCAACUACAUUUAAAAAAACCCUUAAUUUAUCAUAAUUGUUCUGAUAUUCUGUCAACUGGCAAAUUAAAACAUGAAACCAGUGGUUCUUUAGACAGCCUCUGUUUGGCACUCCUGCAACUCCUUGCCACUGGAUCUGAUGAGUACUAGAAACUUCCAAGGAUUCAAAGAACAAAACUAUCAAGCACUAUCAGAUACAAAAAGGUGUCACUUGCAGCUCAGGGUGUCCCUGAGUAACAAAUUUUUCAUGGCUAGGACAGUUUUAUACAUAUUUAUUAACAUUCCUUCCCUGGUUCCUAUUUUUGGCCACACAAUACAGGGGGUUGGAUGGAUUUUUGGCCUGACCCAGCACAUUGGAUCUGCUAUCCUUCGGCUACUAACAAUGACCUAAUCACGAAUAUUCCUUCUACAGUCUCUUCCAGGGUAGGAGUAAUAACAAAACAAACCAAGAAAAUGUAACAAAUCAUAUUAUUCCCGAUGCUGAUAGGAUUUAGGCUGAGAUUUUUGAUCCUGAGAACUCAGAUUUCCUUGCAAACUGCAAGAGAUCAGUUCCCACAAUCGCCAGGUGCAUGACAGACAUCCCGCUUGGGGAGCUGAGCCUCCUGCAAGAAUUCUCUGAGCAACGCCUGAAAGAUUAUGAAUCUGAUAUAAAAGCCUGUGUUUUCUGAAUCAGGGAAGGAAGAGCCUUGAUUCUUCCUCCCUGUGGAUUUGUGGGCUGUGCUGGAAGAGGGGAACAGAACAGUGGCACCUUAGAGGCAGUGAGGCAGCAGGGAAUGCUGCACCACAGAGGCAGGAACUUCCACGGUGUCCUGUAGCUUCCACAGGAUGCUCCAGAAGGCUGUGGCCUCACAGUGCCUUCUAACACCUAUUUUUCCUGGCUGACAGAAGAGGCAACUCAAAAUCCCCCUAAAGGCUGCCAUUUGAAAGUGUGGCUCAUUUUUAUAUGGACUGGAGCCUGGCCUGUUUCCUUCUAAAAGCAUUUUAGCCAGAACGGAAAUUGUGCUUUAAGUUUAUCACCCCCAAAAAUGAAACCUGACAUGUCUGAAAUUCAAGUGUAGCCUUCCCAGCACUUAUCUACACAUACCUGUGUCUGCUUUGAGGAGCCCAGAGGCCUGGACACGUGCAGUUCAAACUGCACACAAGAAUCUGAUUCUUUUUUUGUUUUAAUAAAGAAAGUUUUUCAAGUUUA